AACGAACGUCAGCGGCGCGCUUAACACAUGCAAGUCGUGCGAGAAAGGGCUUCGGCCCCGGUAAAGCGGCGCACGGGUGAGUAACACGUAGGUAAUCUACCCCGAGGUGGUGGAUAACCUUCCGAAAGGAGGGCUAAUACAGCAUAAGACCACGGUUCCGGAGACGGGAUUGAGGUCAAAGCCGGCCUCUUCAUGAAAGCUGGCGCCAUGGGAUGAGCCUGCGGCCCGAAUCAGGUAGUUGGUAGGGUAAUGGCCUACCAAGCCUAAGCCGGCUAGCAGAUCUGAAAGAGAGAUGAGACACACUGGAACAGAGAGACGGGACAGACUCCUACGGGAGGCAGCAGUGGGGAAUCUUGCGCAAUGGUCGAAGCCUGACGCAGCGACGCCGCAUGAGUGAUGAAGGCCCUCGGGUUGUAAAGCUCUGUGGAGGGGGACGAAUAAGUGUUGGCUAAUAUCCAGCAUGAUGACGGUACCCCUUUAGCAAGCACCGGCUAACUCUGUGCCAGCAGCCGCGGUAAAAC
rnacentral:rRNA from 1 species